GGGAACCUACGGGGGGCAGCAGUGAGGGAUAUUGGUCAAUGGGGGAAACCCUGAACCAGCAACGCCGCGUGAGGGAAGACGGUUUUCGGAUUGUAAACCUCUGUCCUCUGUGAAGAUAAUGACGGUAGCAGAGGAGGAAGCUCCGGCUAACUACGUGCCAGCAGCCGCGGUAAUACGUAGGGAGCGAGCGUUGUCCGGAUUUACUGGGUGUAAAGGGUGCGUAGGCGGGUAAGCAAGUCAGAAGGGAAAUUCAUGGGCUUAACCCAUGGACUGCUUUUGAAACUGGUUGUUUUGAGUGAAG
rnacentral:rRNA from 1 species